AUUGAACGCUGGCGGCAGGCUUAACACAUGCAAGUCGAGCGAGCGGCUGACGGGUGAGUAAUGUAUGGGAAACUGCCUGAUGGAGGGGGAUAACUACUGGAAACGGUAGCUAAUACCGCAUACCAUCAGAUGUGCCGAGAUGGGAUUAGCUCGUAGGUGGGGUAAUGGCUCACCUAGGCUAAGAUCCCUAGCUGGGCUGAUAGGAUGACCAGCCACACUGGAACUGAGACACGGUCCAGACUCCUACGGGAGGCAGCAUUGGGGAAUAUUGCACAAUGGGCGCGAGCCUGAUGCAGCAAUGCCGCGUGUGUGAAGAAGGCCUUCGGUUUGUAAAGCAAUUUCAGCGAGGGGGCGUUACUCGCAGAAGAAGCACCGGCUAACUCCGUGCCAGCAGCCGCGGUAAUUC
rnacentral:rRNA from 1 species